CCUACGGGUGGCUGCAGUGGGGAAUAUUGGACAAUGGGCGAAAGCCUGAUCCAGCCAUGCCGCGUGUGUGAAGAAGGCCUUCGGGUUGUAAAGCACUUUCAGUGGGGAAGAAAGCCUUGGGGCUAAUACCCUCGAGGAAGGACAUCACCCACAGAAGAAGCACCGGCUAACUCCGUGCCAGCAGCCGCGGUAAUACGGAGGGUGCGAGCGUUAAUCGGAAUUACUGGGCGUAAAGCGCGCGUAGGCGGUCUGAUAAGCCGGUUGUGAAAGCCCCGGGCUCAACCUGGGAACGGCAUCCGGAAAUGUUAAGCUUAGGGGCCGGAGAGGAAAGGUGGAAUCCCGGGGUUGCGGGGAAAAUCGGUGAGGUUGGGGGGAAAACCAGUGGCCAAGGCGGCCCUUCGGACUGAAACCGAAGGUGGGGGGGGAAAGCGUUGGUAGCAAACAGGAUUAGAUACCCCGGUAGUC
rnacentral:rRNA from 1 species